rnacentral:lncRNA from 1 species
CUCAAUACGAUAGUAUUUAUGGUAGGGGGUCUGGAUAGCAUUGAAGGCUUAAGAAAGGAAGUGGCAUGAUCAGGCUGCAGUUUGAAAAGACUAUUCUGCUUGCAGUGGGAAGGAUGGCUUAGCGAGGCGGCUUAGAUUGGUUUGCCAAGAUGCUGAGCCAGAAACGGGGCUCCUUGGGCAAGCAAUUUCUUGAGGGAGUGCUUUCAAGUGAAACCUGUAAGGGUGUGAGGAAAACGCAAAUAGGACAGGCUCAGAGGAGGUUUGGCCUCAGCUUGAUCCUGUGGUAGCUCUGGGGCAUGUAUGGGGACACAGAUUGCCCUCUUGAGCGAGGCAAGAGGGCUAGUCUUUGUGCUGGCCCCAGCGGGAAGGCAAACCUCCCCAGCUUUUCCAAGUGAGUGGUGCUUUUCUCCCAGGGCAAGUCUCAGGAGAAGGGAACAGCUGUGUUGUUAACAGGCAGCAUUCACAGCAGCGGGGGCAUGGGUGCCUCAGUCCAGGCAGGAAGAGCCGAAGAGAGCAGGAACAGCCAUUUAAGGGGCUCUUGACGUCCUCCACAUGGGGGAGAUUGCUUUCUA